UACAGAGGUCUCAAGCGUUGUUCGGAAUUAUUGGGCGUAAAGGGCGCGUAGGCGGCCCGGUAAGUCAGAGGUGAAAUCCCUCGGCUCAACUGAGGAAUUGCCUUUGAAACUGCCAGGCUUGAGGCCGGGAGGGGGUAGCGGAAUUCCCAGUGUAGCGGUGAAAUGCGUAGAUACUGGGAGGAACACCAGUGGCGAAGGCGGCUACCUGGACCGGUUCUGACGCUGAUGCGCGAAAGCGUGGGGAGCAAACAGG
rnacentral:rRNA from 1 species